rnacentral:snRNA from 1 species
AUUCCUUCGGGGACAUCAGAUAAAAUUGGAACGACACAAAGAAGAUUAGCAUGACCCGUGCGCAAGAAUGACAAGCUGAUCUUGUGAAAAAAUGGUCUA